CUGCCGCCGCCCAAAAUGACCUCGCCUCCGCGUAAAGGAGAAGCGAGCCCCCUUCCGCGUCGACCAGCCUCCUCCUUCGGCACUCUUGAACCGCUCUCUCCUCUACCCCUUCCCGCCGCUCGACACCCUGCUGAGCCGCGACCACCUGCGGAAGCUGGUGCGGCAGCGGUGGAUGUUCCGUUACGUACCGUUCUUGUUGGUUCCACGAGGUAGACUCUUUGUUCUCAGUCUUCUACAUCGACGACGACGGCGCAUGCGACGGCGACGACAACGUCUUCUUGGACAGAGAUGACUUCACCGUCUACUCGUUUGUCUCUUUUUACUGUCGACGUGAUUGAAUGGGUAACCAGGUCACCUCUGUGGUGUCGUCGGGACACUCCUUUCUUUAUGGCUAUUCGUUCGAGGAGAAGUUCUUUGACUAGACCCGUUUCUCUGUUUCUAGAGACUUAGAUUCUGUACGAAGAGUCUACAGUGGUUAUGGCUCCCUUUCCUAUCAAGUUUGGUCGUCUAUCUCCUGAUGUUACUUAAUGAGUCCUUCAUGAUACUUGAACUCCACGUUUCGGUCUUUCAAGAACUCGUUAAUGUAGUCUGUUUAAAAACCUUAAUAGUUUGGGGACUUGUUAGAAGUCGUAUGGUUGUCGUCGUUCAAGGACGAAUGUAACGGUGUCGUGGUCUAGGUUUGAGAAGUUGGUGAGUUUGGAGUACGACGAGGAACUUACAAGGGUACCAAAGUUAGAGGACGACAAGUUGACCCGUUGUUUCACCACUAAGGAGACCAUACGGUGGAUUACCUCCGACGUCGUAUAGUAAGUGAACACUAGUAACGGGACCUCGUUCGUGAUGUAUAGGAUGACCACGUCGGAAGUGCGUCGAGGGUUGAUUCCAUAGAUGACCGCUACUAGUUCAACGAUUCCGACGUUACUACUGACGACUUCCACGGUACUUAAAGUACUCUUUAUGUUAUAGACCUCUACGACGGAGGAAAGGUUUGUAUCCUUUACUUCCACCUUAACCUUUCCUCUUAUUGUGUUGAAACCCGUACUUGGACUUAAAUCUGUGGUGUCCUCGUCUGUCACUAGAGCGACAGCAUGACUUACGUACCAUAUGUCGUCCCAAAAUGUGACCGUCCAUGGAGUACGUCGUUAGCUACUUUUUAGGGGCUCUUUUAACUCACGGUUUUCGGUAUAUCUCCGAGUGGUUCCUAGGGUAAGUGAAGCCCUUCUUGACUUUAUACGUGAGUUUAAUACUACAUUGACUUGUACGACUACCUCAAGACGUUGGUGACAAAAUACGGUCGGUCAUGAAAAAGUUCGUUCAUAAUCCCAUAAGAAUGUAUACUUAUACCUAAACGACACUAAACGUCAUUUACGAACAGACCUAUCCAUUCCUAACCGAGUUGGGGAAGUCUAACCGUCCUUAACAACGGACGGAUAAGUUGAUUCAAGGUUCAUCGGUAAACACGGUACACGUGUCGAAAGUAGUCGCGGACGUGAACCGUCGAAGGUUAGAACUGUCAACCUGCUUCUUCAGUCGGUUUAAGCUCGUCUUUUCAAAACCGAAACUACUAAACAGGUACAUUACACCGCCAGCGUCCUGCCGUGGAAACCUUACAGCACUGAACAUAAGAACAUACUGGACGGUGGGGUGCUCCGUGCCCUCUUUUUAUAUCUUAAUACCUAUAGGGCUCAUUUCGGGCGUUCCUAGUUUUUCAUGGACUUGGUUAACAACACCUUUAGAAGUUCCUGACAGUGUGGUCGUU
rnacentral:rRNA from 1 species